GACGAACGCUGGCGGCGUGCUUAACACAUGCAAGUCGAACGGAAAGGCCCUGCUUUUGUGGGGUGCUCGAGUGGCGAACGGGUGAGUAACACGUGAGUAACAUGCCCUUGACUUUGGGAUAACUUCAGGAAACUGGGGCUAAUACCGGAUAGGAGCUCCUGCAGCAUGGGGGGGGUUGGAAAGUUUCGGCGGUUGGGGAUGGACUCGCGGCUUAUCAGCUUGUUGGUGGGGUAGUGGCUUACAAAGGCUUUGAAGGGUAGCCGGCCUGAGAGGGUGACCGGCCUCAUUGGGACUGAGAUACGGCCCAGACUCCUACGGGAGGCAGCAGUGGGGAAUAUUGCACAAUGGGCGGAAGCCUGAUGCAGCAACGCCGCGUGCGGGAUGACGUCCUUCGGGUUGUAAACCGCUUUCGCCUGUGACGAAGCGUGAGUGACGGUAAUGGGUAAAGAAGCACCGGCUAACUACGUG
rnacentral:rRNA from 1 species